UACGUAGGGGGCAAGCGUUGUCCGGAUUUAUUGGGCGUAAAGAGCGUGUAGGCGGUUAGGUAGGUCCGUUGUGAAAACUCGAGGCUCAACCUCGAGACGCCGAUGGAAACCAUCUAACUAGAGUCCGAAAGAGGAGAGUGGAAUUCCUGGUGUAGCGGUGAAAUGCGCAGAUAUCAGGAGGAACACCGGUGGCGAAGGCGGGUCUCUGGGCCGAAAUUGACGCUGAGGAGCGAAAGCGUGGGGAGCAAACAGG
rnacentral:rRNA from 1 species